UCUAUUAAUAAAAGUUCAUUGAUGUUGAAGUUAUGACUGUUGAAUAGUCUAAUAGAU
rnacentral:tRNA from 1 species